GGCAGUGCUAGCUUAGUGGUUAAGCUGUUAGACUACUGACUAGAAGGUUGUUAGUUCAAAUCCCAGCACUGUCA